GUAACGGCGAGUGAAGCGGCAAAAGCUCAAAUUUGAAAUCUGGUACCUUCGGUGCCCGAGUUGUAAUUUGGAGAGGGCAACUUUGGGGCCGUUCCUUGUCUAUGUUCCUUGGAACAGGACGUCAUAGAGGGUGAGAAUCCCGUGUGGCGAGGAGUGCGGUUCUUUGUAAAGUGCCUUCGAAGAGUCGAGUUGUUUGGGAAUGCAGCUCUAAGUGGGUGGUAAAUUCCAUCUAAAGCUAAAUAUUGGCGAGAGACCGAUAGCGAACAAGUACAGUGAUGGAAAGAUGAAAAGAACUUUGAAAAGAGAGUGAAAAAGUACGUGAAAUUGUUGAAAGGGAAGGGCAUUUGAUCAGACAUGGUGUUUUGUGCCCUCUGCUCCUUGUGGGUAGGGGAAUCUCGCAUUUCACUGGGCCAGCAUCAGUUUUGGUGGCAGGAUAAAUCCAUAGGAAUGUAGCUUGCCUCGGUAAGUAUUAUAGCCUGUGGGAAUACUGCCAGCUGGGACUGAGGACUGCGACGUAAGUCAAGGAUGCUGGCAUAAUGGUUAUAUGCCGCCCGUCUUGAAACACGGA
rnacentral:rRNA from 1 species